rnacentral:tRNA from 1 species
GAAUGUAUAGCUCAAAGGUAGAGCAAUAGGCUUUUAACUUACAGGUUCCGAGUUCAAAUCUCGGUACAUUCU